rnacentral:pre_miRNA from 2 species
AAAGUAGAGUGCAGCCAAGGAUGACUUGCCGGCAGUUAUGUACUUACAUAUUUACUCUUCUUCUUCCUAUCUUUCACGCCGACGCCGGCAAGUUGUUUUUGGCUACAUUUUGCUCUCU